CUCCAAUCUAGCUGCCAUUGUUGCGUUUUCAACAACCAUAUCCCUGUAGUUGAUUCCUUGAAUUACAGGAUAUGCGUGGGGGUCAUAGUUCUUAUCGGCAUGUGACCCGUAAUCGCCCGUCAUCCAAAAUGCCCAUUUCAUGAAUCGAUAGCUAUGAUGUCUUCAGCUCGGACAUCUUGAAUCCCACCUGACAUCUCACUCCCCAGUGCGAUGACAGCACUUGUUGGAGAAAUGCACGAAUCUGCAGAUGGAAGCCAGUCAUUGGUUUAACAAGAUGUUUAAAACUAUCGCUCGAGAAGUUUGAGUUGCAUUCGGAACAAACCUGGGUUGAUACCAUCUGUAUUCGGAGAUCGAACUGGAGCGAUAAUGGUGAUGCCUUGAAUAAGAACAUUGCUGUAUAACAUUUGCAAGUGAAUCAAAUCAGGGAGUGUUGAAUCUCAUACAUAGUUUUCCUCUAAAGUAAAUAAUUGGUUACCUGCUGUAUACAGGAUGAACAUUCCAAGCUGGAGAAUUUAGCAGGGCCAAGUUUGAUAUCUGUAUAUCACUGGAAUACAUGAUCUCAAUUAAGUAUGGACGGGUGUACUUGAGCUUUCCCUGAUGAAACUGCUGCCACCAGUGAUCACCCUGACCGUCAAUGGUGCCAUUGUUACCUGAUGUCAAUCGGCGCCACUCGAAGUUUUAGACACCAGUCCAGAAAGUUAGAGAUAGUCAGACUUUAGCAGUGGGAUACUUACCUGUGAUGACAACAUCAGUGAGGUUUGUUCCAAAGAUUAAACUGAUAUACCUUCCCCCUGAUGUGUCCCUUCCGUGACCGUAGGAUGGCAAUGGUUCGAUCACAGGCCAUUCAUUCGGAUCCUAUCAAAGUAGUUGAAAAUCGGUCAAGUCUUAGAUGAAAUAUCUCAAGACGAUUUAGCUUAUCAAAUUUAGAUAAUCUAUUUUGUCGUCAAUCGAUGACAAGCUAGUUGAUUUAUGAUUUUCGAGAUACGAUAUAUGUGUAAUGAAUGCCAAAUGUAUCUUUUGUUAAGUGGGGAUGGACCUUGACCUUAAAGUUAGUUCAACAUCCUCA